CCUACGGGAGGCAGCAGUGAGGAAUAUUGGUCAAUGGCCGGAAGGCUGAACCAGCCAAGCCGCGUGAAGGACGAAGGUGCCAAGCAUUGUAAACUUCUUUUGUCAAGGGACAAAAUCAGGCUCGAGAGCCUGACCGAGGGUCCUUGAAGAAAAAGCAUCGGCUAACUCCGUGCCAGCCGCCGCGGUAAUACGGAGGAUGCGAGCGUUAUCCGGAUUUAUUGGGUUUAAAGGGUGCGUAGGCGGGCUGUUAAGUCAGCGGUAAAAGCCCGGGGCUCAACCCCGGCGAGCCGUUGGAACUGGCUGUCUUGAGAUGUCGAGAGGUAUGCGGAAUGCGCAGUGUAGCGGUGAAAUGCUUAGAUAUUGCGCAGAACUCCGAGUGCGAAGGCAGCAUACCGGCGGCGAUCUGACGCUGAGGCACGAAAGCGUGGGUAUCGAACAGGAUUAGAUACCCUUGUAGUC
rnacentral:rRNA from 1 species